GGUUUAGCUCAGUGGUAGAGUACACGCCUUGCAUGUGUGAGGUCCUGGGUUCAAGCCCCAAGGAUAACCU
rnacentral:tRNA from 1 species